CCCCUCCCCCGGGAUAGCCGCCCGAAAGGACGGGUAAUACCGGAUACCCCGGGGUGCCGCAUGGCACCCCGGCUAAAGCCCCGACGGGAGGGGAUGGCUCCGCGGCCCAUCAGGUAGACGGCGGGGUGACGGCCCACCGUGCCGACAACGGGUAGCCGGGUUGAGAGACCGACCGGCCAGAUUGGGACUGAGACACGGCCCAGACUCCUACGGGAGGCAGCAGUGGGGAAUCUUGCGCAAUGGGGGGAACCCUGACGCAGCGACGCCGCGUGCGGGACGGAGGCCUUCGGGUCGUAAACCGCUUUCAGCAGGGAAGAGUCAAGACUGUACCUGCAGAAGAAGCCCCGGCUAACUACGUGCCAGCAGCCGCGGUAAUACGUAGGGGGCGAGCGUUAUCCGGAUUCAUUGGGCGUAAAGCGCGCGUAGGCGGCCCGGCAGGCCGGGGGUCGAAGCGGGGGGCUCAACCCCCCGAAGCCCCCGGAACCUCCGCGGCUUGGGUCCGGUAGGGGAGGGUGGAACACCCGGUGUAGCGGUGGAAUGCGCAGAUAUCGGGUGGAACACCGGUGGCGAAGGCGGCCCUCUGGGCCGAGACCGACGCUGAGGCGCGAAAGCUGGGGGAGCGAACAGGAUUAGAUACCCUGGUAGUCCCAGCCGUAAACGAUGGACGCUAGGUGUGGGGGGACG
rnacentral:rRNA from 1 species